CGAGUUUCUGAGGCGUAUUUGUUUGUUACUUCUGGAACUAAGGACGUCAGCCGAGACAUUUUUCUCAAAUUCUGGAAUAAACGAAGAAAAAUGGCUACCUUGUUACGAGAGAUUUGUCACAUCUGUGAUUCAUCUCUCGCAGCUCGAUAUCAACCUCCACAAAGGGAAUUUUAUUUUCAUUUGAACCUCACAUCGCCCUCGCGAGAUCAUCUUGAAGUAUUACGAUUCCAAAAAGGUGAUGUCGUUGCCGCUGACCAAAAGCGUUUACGAUUGCAUAUGGGCUUCGAACUGGAAUGAACGAAAGUCGAAACAAAUGAAGAACAGGUUUCUUUUUUUGAACUGUAUUGUGAGAGGCCAAGCAGGCAAAGGAUUUGAACGCAGACCAUGGAGGUACAUAAUGGUAUUUGAUACAAGGCACAGACGGCAAAGCAGCAAGGACUUAAAUACGGAGCUGAGCCCGCGGAUGAGCAGUGUAAAUGCAUUCGCAAUGUUCACAGAUUUAAGCUCGAAGCCAUUGACUAUACUUGAUGUGAAUUUCGAAGACAUUCAUAGCCAUGUAAUCUGCAUGCCAGGUACAAGGGACGCCAGGGGUGCACCUGUGGUAUUUGUGGAUACUGGAAUGUUGGAAUGGCAGAUUCCAGAUUUCAACAGCGAAGAAAUAGCACAAAUAUGUCUAUAUUUGCUUCAAAUU